AUUGAACGCUGGCGGCAGGCCUAACACAUGCAAGUCGAACGAGUGGCGGACGGGUGAGUAAUGUCUGGGAAACUGCCUGAUGGAGGGGGAUAACUACUGGAAACGGUAGCUAAUACCGCAUACCAUCGGAUGUGCCCAGAUGGGAUUAGCUAGUAGGUGGGGUAACGUCUCACCUAGGCGACGAUCCCUAGCUGGUCUGAGAGGAGGACCAGCCACACGGGAACGGGGACACGGUCCAGACUCCUACGGGAGGCAGCAGUGGGGAAUAUUGCACAAGGGGCGAAAGCCUGAUGCAGCCAGGCCGGGUGUAUGAAGAAGGCCUUCGGGUUGUAAAGUACUUUCAGCGGGGAGGCGUUACCCGCAGAAGAAGCACCGGCUAACUCCGUGCCAGCAGCCGCGGUAAUAC
rnacentral:rRNA from 1 species